rnacentral:rRNA from 1 species
AAACCAGCACCUCAAGUGGUCAGGAGGAUUAUUGGGCCUAAAGCAUCCGUAGCCUGCUGCAUAAGUUUUCGGUUAAAUCCAUACGCUCAACGUAUGGGCUGCCGGGAAUACUGUGCAGCUAGGGAGUGGGAGAGGUAGACGGUACUCGGUAGGAAGGGGUAAAAUCCUUUGAUCUAUUGAUGACCACCUGUGGCGAAGGCGGUCUACCAGAACACGUUCGACGGUGAGGGAUGAAAGCUGGGGGAGCAAACCGGAUUAGAAACCCUAGUAGUCC